GCUGGCGUAGCUCAACGGUAGAGCAAUGGUUUUGUAAACCAUAGGUUGGAGGUUCGAUUCCUCUCGCCAGCUCCA
rnacentral:tRNA from 1 species